rnacentral:lncRNA from 1 species
CACACGCAUGCACAGUAUACGGGAGGUGUGUGGGUAUGCUAAGAUUGUUAGGAAAAGCUCUUUGUCGGUUCAUGGUUUCCACAGGAAAGCCCAAGGCACCCCCGAGUCUUUCUAGUUUUUUUUUUUUUCAAGGCCAAUAACGACAGAACGUACGACGGCAAACGUCCAUCGCCUCUUCGUACCUUUUGUUCUUCGUCUGUCUGUAUACGUACGCAAGGAACAGCUCUCGACAUCACGUCGGCAUUUGAGAGAAUUCUGCGGCACCUAGCAACACAACAUGUUCAACCUUCAUCCCUGAGAACACACACCAAACGUCUUUAUUCGACUGCAACGCAGCAACAACAAACCGAGUAAGGAAAUAGCCCUGGGAAUAUCGAAACAAGCUACCUGUGGUCGAGGUUGAACAAACCUUCGAUAUCGCCGCAAUUUGAUAGUGCCGCCAUUUGAAAUGAAGGCGCAAAGAAGCGUAAAUCAAUCGACCAACGAUUGCGGAUACAUUCACAUCACCUUGUAUUAUGCACUUCAUUUCUCGUGUGUUUUCGUUCGGCCAUAGCCGGCGGAUGGCACGCCAGCAAAUCCAUCAACUUCAACCAGAUAUUUCAGCGAUGCGAUGUACACACAACAUUCUGCCUUGAAUAACAAAUGCACGAAGCGACGCACACAAUUCAAGUCCAAAUUCUUUUGUAUUACGAAUGAUUUAGAUCUUUGAUUAAAAAAUGCACUUAACAUAUUCUCCCGUGAACCUCAAAUGCAAAUGACGUCGCAUCCUUCCACAUCUACAGUGGAUAAGAUUCGUCGUUAACUGUGGCCACGUCUUCGCUGUCAGCUUCGGACGAUGAACGACUGUCCCAUUCUGCAUCCAUUGAAGGAUAGUAAUGGUGAGCCACCGCAGACCAGUCGAUCGGGUACGUAACACGACCUGGUGUAAUGCGGAUGUCUUGCUGCCUCACUACGGACGAUUCCGCAUCCGCGUCGACGGGGAGAGUAGAAGCCUCAGUCUCCUUCGUCGGAGGUGCGUCUCCGCUCAAAAGUUCAGAAUAAUAAGCCGGAUAGCUAUUGCCGAAAUCGGCCAAAUCAGAAGUGGAAUCAGGGACGUCGGUAUCGUCCCGGUCUCCGUAAAUCGGCUGAACUUGAGGACGGUAUCCUUUUUUUUUCAUAUCAAACAUUUUGGAUCGAAUGAAUAAUUAGUGAACAAAGAUGGUCUCCGUUGAAACUUAUCGAUAAAGGAUUAUGUAAUGUACCUGUUGGCAUUACACCGUAGCCUGGCGCCACUGGAAAAUAAGGGCCAGCUGCAGGAACGUAAGAUCCAGGCAUGUAAGCGCCAGCACCAGGCCCGAAAGCCCCAGCACCGGGCCCGAAAGCCCCAGCACCGGGGAUGUAAGCGCCAGCUCCGGAAACGUAAGCCCCUGGUGGCACGUAAGCGCCAGCCAUGUUGUUGAACCCAACACCUGUACCAAUGGACGAGCAAGUUCAAUCAUCAGACUUUCUUUAAUAGCAAAAUGCAUUAACUGUUACGACUCCAACGUGUUUAUUAUUACCCGAUGCGUAGGGAUAGCCAGCAUUGCUACCGUAAUUGGCAAUACCACUGGCCAAAAGCGUUCCCACUCCAGCGGCCAACGCGUUGGCCACAAAUCCGCUUCCUGUCGACUCGUGUUUCUCUUCAUUUCUUUUAUCGUCCACUAUGAAUUGUGAUGAACGCGGGUCGUUUGCGUCUUGCUCGAUUCCCAAUGCACCUGUUGCUUCGCGAUCUGGCCAGUCUUCACCGUUGGCAUUGGGUCGAGCCUCGACAAUCAGAGCCGUCGAAAUCACAGACAGCUGGAUAUAGGGAGCGAUUACAAGUGAAACAAAGUUAAUCAAUCCGACUGCAAAGGGCGGGAAAAUGAACACGACAACUAUUCAAAUGAGAGUAAGAGGAAAGGUAGACGUGGGGGAAAGGAACUUUGGUUGCCACCAGCCCGGAUGACGUGACACUUGAAACGACAAGGACAAACGACGUAAAAGAAAUUGAACCACCCGAGGACAAUGGGGGCGUUUUAAAGUCAUAAACAAGUCAAGGGAGAAGCUUGUGGAUUAGAUAGUUGUUAUGUGCUAUGCUUACCAGUAACGUAGUCGAGGAGAACCAGCGUUGAAUUGCGGAGAGAAGCAGCAUCCUGUCGCGUUCUUUGACCUCAGUCGACUGGCAAGUUCUCGUUUCGCCCUUUGUUGACCUCACGUCGGUCUCUGUCGCUCUACCUGUCCGUCAGUGGUGCGGACACUGGACGUGUCGCUUUAUAUCUCUCUGGCCUGACUGAAGGUACAACGACCUCUUGAUUGCAAAUGUGUCUCGCUCUUUUGUUUUUCCUCCACCAGCAUUUCCGAAUCUGCUUGUCCGGUUUGCCCAAUCGAUGCCUGUUCCACCUGAUGGACACGUUCUGUGCCGGAUUCAGCUGUAUACGUUAUUUUGGCGAAUCUUUGCAAUCAAGGUGGAACAAUCUGAGGGGACGAGGGCAAGCCAAAGGAAAGCUGUCGCAGUUGGCUCCAUGGCAUCAAGCAUAGCUUCGCACAAGGUGGCAGAUUAGAAUCCCCUGCAUUUCAAGCAGCACGUGCACAACGAAGAAGAAAAACAUUUGGCUUCCUGGUGGCUGUUUGCCCCGCUAGAUUUUGUUCUUCUUCUUUGUAAUGACUGUAGAUCCAUCACAAUGUUGAAAGCUACUAAAACAUAACAAGAACUUUUAAAGCUCUGAAACCCUCAAUUGAAGGUCAUGGUCCCUGUUUUUUUAUGCGGGGGAUGGUGACAAAAGAGGUAAACGCCACUUCCUUGUUGGAAGGUUUUUGGGACUCGAAAGUGACGUGUUUUUUUAAUGUCACUUUUUCUUUUUUAUAAUUUAUGCUCCAAUUGUCAAGAGGCAGUUGGUCAAUGCCACUCAAUUCGUUGUCGGCCGACAUUAGCAUAAACAGCUCCAGAAUUCCCGCUACUUAUAUCUAUUUGCAUAUACAUGGACCUUUAUAGAUCGCACCUAUUCACGCGAUUUCGCCAUUAAUGUUCAGUUUUUUUAAUAUUUUUAGCCGCAGUUGUAGCUAUAUUCGAUCCGUGCGGUCAUUGUCGGGUUUGUUUUGCAAUCAAGAUUGCACAUAGAAAUAUAGGAUCCGAUUGCGGAUGAUCAGAGAACAUGCACCCAUUAUCAUUUGUGACGAAAUCACACACCUCAUGGCAAACAGACGCUUUAUAACUCGUUGUUGAUACAGAGGGCUAUUUAUUACGACAGUUUUCUUUGUUUUCCUUUGUUUUGUGCGUUGAUUGAUGGAGUGAAUGACUGCGGUUGGAUUCGGAAUCAUCGUGUAAUCGCCAUGAAAUGCACACGGUGGAUUUAAAAAAAAAAAACGAGAAAAGACACACUUGCAUGUACAAAAGGAUAGAGAAAUCUCUCGUGAAUAUCAAGGAUUGCAACAGCCCGUCCUGUUUAGCCGCGACGUGAAAGUGACUAUCGCCAUCAUUCCUAAACAGUUAGAAAUUGUGCAAUCAGGACAUUUCUAUAGUCGAGAGAGAGAUUGUCUGUACCUUUCGCGAUGGCCACCAACUGGGCAGCCACCAGUGCCUUUGAUGAUCUCCUUGGACAUUUCCAUAGCCAUAAAAAGGUGGCCGAUGACCUGUCAGACGUCAAUGCAUCUAAUCAAUGAUUCCAAUUUCAAGCUGAGCUUAUCGUUCUGUGCAGGAUUACCGAAACCGUGGUGUUGGCCCGUCAGAGCGCUUUCAAUGAUUACGCCCAAGAAACGCUGAGGUUCGCGUUUCUGGCGGACAACCGACUCUUCGGCGUUGGUCUGCAUCAGGAAAAGCGCCAUCGCUAAUAGAACAGCUGUCGACCUCCCCUGGAAAUGAGAAGAAGUUCAAACAAAAUUCAUCAGUCAACAUGUGUUUUCAUUUGUUUCCUCGAUUGCAGAGUUCAGCACUGUUUACCAAACGGAAGGAGCGAAUCAUUUCUUUGCGUGGAUCGCAGGAACGUCUUACGUGCGUGUCACAAACACCAACUGCGACUGACGAGAGGCCGAGCUGUUCAAUGACUUUCCUGGAAAAUGUGUAGAUCCCCACAGGGAAAAGGUGGGCUGCCUUGUCUGGUUUUCCGGGUUUUUUACAUCGCCUCUUUUGAAAGCGGAUUGGCGGAGGAGGUUACACGCUUCAACCUUAAACGGUUCACAGUUUACACGGGUGACAUUUAUUGGGGGUGACUAACCUCCAACUAGCAGCUUCUUCCUCAUUCCAGCAAAAAAAACAAAUAAAAGAAGAAGGCACAGGUACUCGUUUUUGUUUUGGGGGGGGGGAGUUCAACCCCCACCUUUUAAUGGUCACACAAUUCAGUUUUAAAGGGAAAAAGCGGAUGGUAUUAAAUCUACCAAAGUCAGUGUGUGUGUAUUCCGUGGAUCAAUGACCCCUAGAUGUUGAAUCCCAACUCUUGAGAUGGGAAAUGUGAGAUAUAAAUAUAAGCCUGUCCUAAAACAGCCGGAAGAUAAAUGCAUGAAUUGGAAAGCGUCCCUGGCCAGUGUGUGUAAACAGGAUCAGGGAAAUUGAAAUGGACUGCGCGAUUUAGGGCCGUGCAAAAAACGAUAAAUUGAUUCAAAAUUGUGAAACGGAUGUUGGAAACAGCUAUGGAUGAGCCAAUCAGUUGCAUCCUUCUCAUCAAUGAUGGCCAUGAUGAUGUCCGUGUCCGUGCUCGUGAUGGCCGUGUCCGCCAUGGUGUCUGCACAAAAGAAUUGAAUUACAACAUGACGGAAAUCUACCAUGUCAAAGGUACCCUCCAUGAUGGCCACCGAAGCCAAAUCCAUGUCCGUGUCCGUGACCGCCAUGCCCAUGGUAAGAUGGAAGAUGACCUAUAUCAAGUUUUCAUUAGCGCACCGAUUAAACACGUGACAAGUGUAAAUGUCGACAUGUACAAACCGUAGUGGCCAUAACCGUAUCUUUGUCCAGCGAGUGCACUUGCACGCAGAGCGACCACCAAUCCUCCAUUCACGACUUGCGGCUCCCAUUUAGGACGAGCUGCGACAUCGUUCUUGGCGGCUUCGACGGACAGCGCUGCGGCUACCAAACACAACUGGAAUGAAAAUGUCGUAGCGAGAUGUCAGCAAUCGAAUCAUUCGCGAAUAACGAAAGAAAGAAGAGCGGCCUUUGUCUCCAGUUCUUACCAGGUAAAUUGACCAAUUCAUUUCAAGGGCGGGUGGCAGAUAAAGACUCGACUAUAACGACCCCAACUCGUCGAAAGCAACUGGCUAACGUCUUGAAUUGAGCCACGUAAUUUAUAUGGUCGCAUCAGCAGUCCACCUUUGAAAGUUCACAAAACGAGGGAUUGGUCCAUCGCGAGGAAUAAACAUCAACCCUCGCAUACGUACAUUACCCUGUCAAUCGCGAGGUCAACAGAGGUCUUUGUUCUAGUUUUGCCUUUUUUUUUCAAGGUUUUGGUUGUUAUUGCUUUGAUGAUUUCAAUAAAGCAGGAAAAAAGAACGAGAUUCUGUGUAACGGGCAGCCAUUUCCAGCACGAUGUAUUCCAGCUCGAAGAAUAAGCCACACGACUCUCUCAUGUUGUAAUUAGGCGAUUUCAAAAGAUUGAUAAGCUAAACAAGAGGAUUGUCUUCAAAACAUGUUUUUUAUUAGACAACAGAGUAUACGAUACAUCCCUUGUUCCAUGGCAUUUUCAGGGAUUUUGAACUGUCGCCCUACCUACUCAAUUGAGCCGAAUACUCGUACGAAAGAUAUUAAUGGAUAUGAUGACCAUGCCCACCAGUUCCGUGCCAAGUCGAUGCUGCUCCGUGAACGUGUCCACCAGUUCCAUGGCCGCCGAUUCCACCGUGUCCAUGACCAACUCCGUGCCCGGUUGAUCCUGUUCCGUGGACGUGACUGCCCGCUCCAUGCCCACCUGAUCCGUAGCCAUGAGCUGUUCCUUGUCCGUGUCCACCACUCGCGUGAAUACCACUUAGAUGCCCAAACGAUCCUGAUCCAUGUCCGUGCCCGUGUCCGCCGUAGCUAACGUGACCACCGUGGUGUCCGCCAUGAUGACUUCCGUGACUGGAAGAACCACCGUAGAAAUCACCGGAUCCGACAGGCCUGUGACCACGAUGACCAUGGCUUCCGAAACGAGCCGCAUGCAGAGGUGAAUAGCCAGGCACUGUCCAUUAAAAAAUGACAGAUUACCAUAUCACAUGACCACGACGUGCUAUAAUUACUGGAUCGUCUUAUACCGUAGCCGGGGAUUCCAGCAACACCAGUAUGCCCAUCAUCAGUGAGGACACCUUGCAAUAGCCCGCCCAGCAAUUGCGGCUGGCGUUUGGGACGUGCUCCGUGAUCCGCAGCCUUCGCUGAUGACGUCAUCAAUGGCAACGUUAUUGCAACAAGGAAACCCCACUAGAAAAAUUUGUCUUUAAAAAUAUUGACACAUAAAUAAAUGGUCUGUUUUACAUGGGAA